GACGAACGCUGGCGGCGUGCUUAACACAUGCCAGUCGAACGGAAAGGCCCUGCUUUUGUGGGGUGCUCGAGUGGCGAACGGGUGAGUAACACGUGAGUAACCUGCCCUUGACUUUGGGAUAACUUCAGGAAACUGGGGCUAAUACCGGAUAGGAGCUCCUGCUGCAUGGUGGGGGUUGGAAAGUUUCGGCGGUUGGGGAUGGACUCGCGGCUUAUCAGCUUGUUGGUGGGGUAGUGGCUUACCAAGGCUUUGACGGGUAGCCGGCCUGAGAGGGUGACCGGCCACAUUGGGACUGAGAUACGGCCCAGACGCCUACGGGAGGCAGCAGUGGGGAAUAUUGCACAAUGGGCGGAAGCCUGAUGCAGCAACGCCGCGUGCGGGAUGACGGCCUUCGGGUUGUAAACCGCUUUCGCCUGUGACGAAGCGUGAGUGACGGUAAUGGGUAAAGAAGCACCGGCUAACUACGU
rnacentral:rRNA from 1 species